rnacentral:misc_RNA from 1 species
GGAAGGAUCAUUCAUUGAUCAAUGUAGUCACAUGAAUUUGAUUUUGCAAAUUUUGGCUUUGAUUAUUGUCAAUUGCAUAUUUGAGUAUAGAUUAAAGCAAUGCCGGUGGAUGCCUCGGCUUGGGAUCUGAUGAAGGACGCGGCAAGAUGCGCAAAUAAGCAGGAAAUGCAAAUUUUCGUGAAUGCUGUUGUCUCCGAAUGCAACUUGCGUCGGCACUCUUUGGGUGCUCGGCUUGGAUGGUAUAGAAGGUUGUAACAAAUUGGCUUAUGCUCUAAUGUUCGCUUAUUCGGCGAGCGUGUAAUAUAUGGUUUGGGAUUGAAUGAGCAAUCACAAAUUCCUUACCUUUACGAAAAACCUCUGUGCCAUGCAAAGAUUUCCGCUGAACUUAAGCAUAUCAAUAAGCGGAUAGAAAUAAAAGAACACUGAUACCCUCAGUAAGGGCGACUGAACGGGGUAGAGUCCGCAGUCACUGGCUAGUAUUCUGUACUAUCCUGUGUGGCUUGGUUUUCACCUGUUAGUGUCGGCGUGUUGAGAUUUCUAUGAAAAUAGGAUCCAAAGUGGGUUAUAGACCUCUAACAGCACUGCUGCGCUAGCUCCAGGUGUUUACCUUACGGAGUCGCGUUCCUUGGUAGUGGAGCGCAAAACGGUGGUAAUCCUCACCGAAGACUAAACAAAAUCCCAAGACCGAUAGCGAAGAAGUACCGCGAGGGAAAUGUGAAAAGUACUCUGAAAAGAGAGUUAAAAGGACCUGAAACCGGUAUUGCGGAACGGGAUGUUCAUCCCUGUAACCUAACCGGUUACCUUGUCUUUGGACUCGGCCAACUUGUUGGGAAUCACUGCUGGUGGGAUUUGUCUCCCUUUAGGGAAGCACUUCUCAUUAACAUGUGACAGAGGUUGAAUAUCCCACCCGUCUUGAAACACGGACCAAGGAGUCCAACAUAUGUGCGAGCGAAAGGGACAUGAAGUCCCCUACGCGUAAGGAAACUGACACAUGUCAAACAUAGAUCUCUUAGGUGCUUGCAUUUGGGAGAGUCAGAGUACAUAUGUUGGGACCCGAAAGAUGGUGAACUAUGCCUGGGUAGGAGGAAGCCAGGGGAAACUCUGGUGGACGUCCGCGACGAUGCUGACGUGCAAAUCGCUCGGCGAAUCUGGGUAUAGGGGCGAAAGACCAAUCGAACCAUCUAGUAGCUGGUUCCUCC